UUUGUCUUUUGCCUUUCGGCAGGAAGUCAUCCUGCAUACUGGAUUUUUGGGCCUUCUCCCCCCUGGAAGGAUUUGUUUGAGCUUCACACUGAGCAGGGGAUUUUUCUCCACACGUCCCGUUCAAGUACUCCUGGAAAUCUAAGUGGCAGUCCGCUCCAUUGCUCCUCAGGAACUGGGAAGAAAUUUUUCUCCGCAAACUUCCGGUUCACCAGCCCUCUGAGUUCACCUGAAUCCAACCCAU